rnacentral:rRNA from 1 species
CAAAAACAUCGCCUUUGGGAAAGAUCAAAGGUCCUGCCUGCCCGGUGAUUUUUUGAAAAAUUAAACGGCUGCGGUACUCUGACCGUGCAAAGGUAGCAUAAUCAUUAGCCUGUUAAUUUCAGGCUGGAAUCAAUGGCAAGACGAAGAAUAAGCUGUCUCUUUACAUUAUAUUUGAAUUUUUCGUCUUGGUUAAGAGACUAAGAUGAUUGAGUGGGACGAGAAGACCCUAUUGAGCUUUAAUUUUAAAUUAGAGAUAAAGUCUAAUUAGAAAUUUUGGUUGGGGCAACGGUUUUUUUAAUUAAACAAGAGGGUAAAGAAUGAGUUAAUUCAAGGUUUGACCCAAAUUAUAUAUUUUGGUAAAUAGAAAAAGUUACCAUAGGGAUAACAGCGUAAUUCUUUUUGAGAGUACUUAUUGACAAAAGAG